AGGCUUUCAAUAUUUGUUGAGAAGGCAUAUAUUAGGGUGUCGGUCAUCCGACUAUAGUGAUAAACGCCAUAUGGAAUAGGCUGCAUGGACCCGGGGGCAGUACCCGGCGCCUCCACCAUAAUCCUUCCUUUUCGCGCCAGGUGGCGUGUAUUUAUGGGGGCGAACCAGGUUCGACAUGGGCAAUAAAGAUGUGGUUUUCGCUCGGCAUGAUACCACCGUUACCGGAUCAAAAACACAAUUGCCAAUGAUAAUGAAAUGGCACUUGCUGCUUAGUACUACUAGGUAAGCGCGGUUCGGAGGGCGCCGGGCAACAGAAGCCCUCCACA
rnacentral:tmRNA from 1 species